rnacentral:ncRNA from 1 species
ACCUUAUAGCGAAAAGAUGGAGGGAAUAGGACCGCUGAAAUCUUGGCAACCCAAAACAUAGUUGGGUGCUACAUCCUACUCUAGUUUUAUAGAGAAAGAUAAGGA